UGGAUCCAGACUUUGAUCAUGGCUCAGGACGAACGCUGGCGGCGCGCCUAACACAUGCAGGUCGAACGAGAGAGGAGGAGUUUGCUUCUUCGAUCGAGUGGCGAACGGGUGAGUAACGCGUGAGGAACCUGCCUCAAAGAGGGGGACAACAGUUGGAAAUGACUGCUAAUACCGCAUAAGCCCACAGGUCGGCAUCGACCAGAGGGAAAAGGAGCAAUCCGCUUUGAGAUGGCCUCGCGUCCGAUUAGCUAGUUGGUGAGGUAACGGCCCACCAAGGCGACGAUCGGUAGCCGGACUGAGAGGUUGAACGGCCACAUUGGGACUGAGACACGGCCCAGACUCCUACGGGAGGCAGCAGUGGGGAAUAUUGCACAAUGGGGGAAACCCUGAUGCAGCGACGCCGCGUGGAGGAAGAAGGUCUUCGGAUUGUAAACUCCUGUUGUUGAGGAAGAUAAUGACGGUACUCAACAAGGAAGUGACGGCUAACUACGUGCCAGCAGCCGCGGUAAAACGUAGGUCACGAGCGUUGUCCGGAAUUACUGGGUGUAAAGGGAGCGCAGGCGGGAAGACAAGUUGGAAGUGAAAUCCUUGGGCUCAACCCAUGAACUGCUUUCAAAACUGUUUUUCUUGAGUAGUGCAGAGGUAGGCGGAAUUCCCGGUGUAGCGGUGGAAUGCGUAGAUAUCGGGAGGAACACCAGUGGCGAAGGCGGCCUACUGGGCACCAACUGACGCUGAGGCUCGAAAGUGUGGGUAGCAAACAGGAUUAGAUACCCUGGUAGUCCACACCGUAAACGAUGAUUACUAGGUGUUGGAGGAUUGACCCCUUCAGUGCCGCAGUUAACACAAUAAGUAAUCCACCUGGGGAGUACGACCGCAAGGUUGCAACUCAAAGGAAUUGACGGA
rnacentral:rRNA from 1 species